GGAGCUCAGUCAGGUGCUCCAUAGAACCAUUUUUACAGAGCAAAAUUUACCAGACACUUGCUUCUCACUGUGAUCCUCACUCCUUUUGUUUCUUGCUCUUUCAUGAUUCACCCUUAAUUCAGUAAAAUCUCCAAGGACAUAGUCUCAGAAUUGUCUCCCCUGUGUCUCCUGCUGGGCUUCACUGCUGCUAUGUAGUAAUCAAGGUCCUCACUGUAUCUGGAAUUGCACUUUCUGUUUCUCUGUCUGACAUCUGUCAGUGCCCACGUUGGCAUCAGAUGGCUCCAAAAUGCAGUUGUGCUUGGCUGAUCCUUCUUGUCUUGAGCCUGACUGGACUCAGUGUCUCAGGAAAGUGAAAGAUUCAUUCAAGACUUCUCAAGAAGAAAAGAUAGCAGUUCUUUAUUGAACUAAUUUAUAUGCCAGCAAAGAAAAUGCGGAAGUGGAUAGAUGACUCUAUUUUAAAUCUUAAUCUGUAAGCAUUACAACAGCUAAUUUGAAUAUUCAAUUUACGUCCAUUUCACUGAAAAUUGAAAUAUUCUUUCCUAAUUUAGUUUGCAAAAUCUUGAGAGAGUAAGAAUAGGCUAAAAAAUAUAAUUCCAAAAUUGGUUG